rnacentral:rRNA from 1 species
AGCAGCCGCGGUAAUUCCAGCUCCAAUAGCGUAUAUUAAAGUUGUUGCAGUUAAAAAGCUCGUAGUUGAAUUUUGGGUCUGGCCGGGCGGUCCGCCCUCCGGGUGAGCACUGUUCCGACGCCGGGCCUAUCCUUCUGGUGAGUCGGCAUGUCCUUUGUUGGGUGUGUCGGGGAACCAGGACCAUUACCUUGAAAAAUUAGAGUGUUCAAAGCAGGCGCAUGCUCGGAUACAUUAGCAUGGAAUAAUGAAAUAGGACGCGUGGGGCUAUUUUGUUGGUUUCUAGAACCGCCGUAAUGAUUAAUAGGGAUAGUUGGGGGCAUUAGUAUUCAAUUGUCAGAGGUGAAAUUCUUGGAUUUAUUGAAGACUAACUUCUGCGAAAGCAUUUGCCAAGGAUGUUUUCAUUAAUCAAGAACGAAAGUUAGGGGAUCGAAGACGAUCAGAUACCGUCGUAGUCUUAACCAUAAACUAUGCCGACUAGGAAUCGGGCGAUGUUAUUCUCAUGACUCGCCCGGCGCCUU